GUUUUCUAACUCUUGUUCUCAAACCCGCUUCAACGCCUGCAGCAAAGCUAGGGUUUCGGCAUGGAGGGCCGAUCGGACCUGCGCUGCACUCGCGGAACCGUCGAUCAGCUUCCCGGAGGAGUCCCUGCACACCCAAGAGACAGCGCCGGUACUCUCACUCGCCGAGAACGAGCCAUCAACGUUAAUUUUGAGCGUCCCCGAGCGCGGCGGGAUCCAUGACUUUGACAAAUUCAUUCCGCGCCUUCCAGAUUUGCCACAUAAUCGUUGUGAUUAAUUCCAGAGGAGGAUCAGGUGCUCGAUGGUUUCGCUGUUUAGCCGGCAGAAGGGGCAAGAGGAAUCAGGUACUAUUUUCCGUUUGAGUAGAUUUUUCUUUGGUAGGCAAUGCAUUUUGACAGACAUUCCAUAGGAACAUUUUCAGCUUUGGUGAGCUGUUUGGAUUCCAUAUUAUAUUCCGAAGUUCUGUUGGGGUUUGGUAGGAGGAGGAUGGUUGCUGUAUGCGUGCUGUGGGUUCUGUCUGUCUGAGGACAUUGUAGCCAUUUUUCACUGAGUAUUGACCCGAUUUGGUUC